rnacentral:rRNA from 1 species
AGUGAACGCUGGCGGUAGGCCUAACACAUGCAAGUCGAACGGCAGCACAGUAAGAGCUUGCUCUUACGGGUGGCGAGUGGCGGACGGGUGAGGAAUACAUCGGAAUCUACUUUUUCGUGGGGGAUAACGUAGGGAAACUUACGCUAAUACCGCAUACGACCUACGGGUGAAAGCAGUGGAUCUUCGGACCUUGCGCGAUUGAAUGAGCCGAUGUCGGAUUAGCUAGUUGGCGGGGUAAAUGCCCACCAAGGCGACGAUCCGUAGCUGGUCUGAGAGGAUGGUAAGCCACACUGGAAGUGAGACACGGUCCAGACUCCUAAGGGAGGCAGCAGUGGGGAAUAUUGGACAAUGGGCGGAAGCAUGAUCCAGCCAUACCGCGUGGGUGAAGAAGGCCUUCGGGUUGUAAAGCCCUUUUGUUGGGAAAGAAAAGCAGCAGGUUAAUACCACGCUGUUCUGACGGUACCCAAAGAAUAAGCACCGGCUAACUUCGUG